UAGGGAAUCUUCGGCAAUGGACGGAAGUCUGACCGAGCAACGCCGCGUGAGUGAAGAAGGUUUUCGGAUCGUAAAGCUCUGUUGUUAGAGAAGAACGUUGGUAGGAGUGGAAAAUCUACCAAGUGACGGUAACUAACCAGAAAGGGACGGCUAACUACGUGCCAGUAGCCGCGGUAAUACGUAGGUCCCGAGCGUUGUCCGGAUUUAUUGGGCGUAAAGCGAGCGCAGGCGGUUCUUUAAGUCUGAAGUUAAAGGCAGUGGCUUAACCAUUGUACGCUUUGGAAACUGGAGGACUUGAGUGCAGAAGGGGAGAGUGGAAUUCCAUGUGUAGCGGUGAAAUGCGUAGAUAUAUGGAGGAACACCGGUGGCGAAAGCGGCUCUCUGGUCUGUAACUGACGCUGAGGCUCGAAAGCGUGGGGAGCAAACAGG
rnacentral:rRNA from 1 species